rnacentral:piRNA from 1 species
UGUCCUCUCGAAUCUUGUCUGAAG